UACGAAGGGGGCUAGCGUUGCUCGGAAUGACUGGGCGUAAAGGGCGCGUAGGCGGUUUGUACAGUCAGAUGUGAAAUUCCUGGGCUCAACCUGGGGGCUGCAUUUGAUACGUAUGGACUGGAGUGAGGAAGAGGGUCGUGGAAUUCCCAGUGUAGAGGUGAAAUUCGUAGGUAUUGGGAAGAACACCGGUGGCGAAGGCGGCGACCUGGUCCUUUACUGACGCUGAGGCGCGAAAGCGUGGGGAGCAAACAGG
rnacentral:rRNA from 1 species